CAAACAUUGAGAAUUUACCCAACUUUAAAUUUAAAUUGACUUCGGACGACUUUUUCUGAAGAGGUGAAGGAAAAACUGAUGGGAAGGUGUUGUGUAUUCAGAAGCCCCCAUGUCUUCUGGGAGAUGUUAUAUCUGCCCUACAUAAAGAGUACAUCAAGACAUUCUAAGUCAGGAAGAUGAGACCAAAAUAGAGGCCUUUAUCUGAUGGCCGAUUACUUGACCCUGAUGAAAACAGACCACGCACCCAUCCACAUGACUGUCACCAUCA